rfam:Zea mays cultivar B73 chromosome 5, whole genome shotgun sequence.
ACCCUAGUAUUCACCUCAAACCACAUGUGUUGAGGUGGAUUGGGGUGUAAAUUAGUUUAAUUUACACCCCAAUCCACCUCAACACCUGUGGUUUGGGAUGAAUUCUAGG